rnacentral:rRNA from 1 species
UACGUAGGGUCCAAGCGUUAAUCGGAAUUACUGGGCGUAAAGCGUGCGCAGGCGGUUUUAUAAGACAGGUGUGAAAACCCCGGGCUCAACCCGGGGACUGCAUUUGUGACUGUAUAGCUAGAGGACGGCAGAGGGGGAUGGAAUUCCGCGUGUAGCAGUGAAAUGCGUAGAUAUGCGGAGGAACACCGAUGGCGAAGGCAAUCCCCUGGGCCUGUACUGACGCUCAUGCACGAAAGCGUGGGGAGCAAACAGG